rnacentral:rRNA from 1 species
CCUACGGGAGGCAGCAGUGAGGAAUAUUGGUCAAUGGCCGGAAGGCUGAACCAGCCAAGCCGCGUGAAGGACGAAGGUGCCAAGCAUUGUAAACUUCUUUUGUCAAGGGACAAAAUCAGGCUCGAGAGCCUGACCGAGGGUACUUGAAGAAAAAGCAUCGGCUAACUCCGUGCCAGCAGCCGCGGUAAUACGGAGGAUGCGAGCGUUAUCCGGAUUUAUUGGGUUUAAAGGGUGCGUAGGCGGAUUGUUAAGUCAGCGGUAAAAGUCCGGGGCUCAACCCCGGCGAGCCGUUGAGACUGGCUGUCUAGAGAGGUGGAGAGGUAUGCGGAAUGCGCAGUGUAGCGGUGAAAUGCUUAGAUAUGGCGCAGAACUCCGAUUGCGAAGGCAGCAUACCGGCGGCGAUCUGACGCUGAGGCACGAAAGCGUGGGUAUCGAACAGGAUUAGAUACCCCGGUAGUC